AGCUCCAAUAGCGUAUAUUAAAGUUGUUGCAGUUAAAAAGCUCGUAGUCGGAUUUCUGGCUUGGAAGGGCGGUCCGUUUGGCCUUGCCAGAUGUGAACCAGCAUCUUCCAGCCAUCCUCGUGGAGAGCUGUCACCUAUUCGGAGGCAUGCAAUCCACGUCAUUUACUGUGAACAAAUUAGAGUGUUCAAAGCAGGCUUACGCCACUGAAUACAUUAGCAUGGAAUAAUCCUAUAGGACUUUGGUGAUUCUAUUGUUGGUUACGCACCAGAGUAAUGAUUAAUAGGGAUAGUUGGGGGUAUUCGUAUUCAAUUGUCAGAGGUGAAAUUCUUGGAUUUAUGGAAGACGAACAACUGCGAAAGCAUUUACCAAGGAUGUUUUCA
rnacentral:rRNA from 1 species